UUACGGCCACAUCGCGUUGGAAAAUCGGUUCCCGUACGAUUACCUCAGUUAAGCAACGUUAAGCCUGAUCAGUACCAAGAUGGAUGAUCCCUUGGGCAUACCAGGUGCUGCAAG